rnacentral:rRNA from 1 species
UUAACGCUAGCGGCAGGCCUAAUACAUGCAAGUCGAACGGCAGCGGGUGUAGCAAUACAUGCCGGCGAGUGGCGCACGGGUGCGUAACGCGUAUGCAAUCUACCUGUAACUGGGGAAUAGCCUUCCGAAAGGAAGAUUAAUACCGCAUAACAUCAUGAAGUGGCAUCAUUUUAUGAUCAAAACUCCGGUGGUUACAGAUGAGCAUGCGUGACAUUAGCUAGUUGGUGAGGUAACGGCUCACCAAGGCGACGAUGUCUAGGGGGUCUGAGAGGAUGAUCCCCCACACUGGUACUGAGACACGGACCAGACUCCUACGGGAGGCAGCAGUAAGGAAUAUUGGACAAUGGCCGCAAGGCUGAUCCAGCCAUGCCGCGUGCAGGAUGAAGGUGCUCUGCAUUGUAAACUGCUUUUGUUCGGGAAUAAACCCUUUCACGUGUGAGAGGUUGAAUGUACCGAAAGAAUAAGGGACGGCUAACUUCGUG